rnacentral:lncRNA from 1 species
ACAAGCCGCCAAGGGUCAUGGCAAAGUUCUCAGGCACGUCUUUAAAGAUGAUGCAUCAACAGUGACAGCUGCCACAAGAAAUCCCUGACUCAGCAAAACACAUCAGAACUGCAUCCUGUCCACACGUGGACGUCGAGAAACACUCUAUUGCCUUGAGAAUGAACUCUAAGAAAUGCUUUGAUUUUAUCAGACGAAUGUUAAUACCACCUCAGUGAUAUACUGCAGAGAAGCUACUGCAGGAGGAUUAACUGAUAAAACAGGUAAUCCAGACACAUGCUUAGAGCUACACGAGUUAGUUAAAUGGCGGGCAGUUAUUCUGCUAACUAUGCACCACUCACCCACUGACAAUGAAUCACUACCUUCUUAGGGUGAACUGGUGUUGGAGUGAUAAUGAGCAGUAUCCUUGUUCAUAAUUAGAGACUGUACCACACCUCUGACCACUUCCCUUAGGAUUUGAUCUCUGUCAAACUCCAGGAGCUAUUUCAGUAACUCUUUAUAACCA